rnacentral:sRNA from 1 species
GCUGCAAGCUUCACUGGGUGGUAGCUCAAAGCUGCUGACUCGACUUGACCCUUUCCAGUUUGGUCUGGGUUGCUUGUUCUUCCAAAUUUUGAGUUAUUCAGGGGAGGCCAUGGGAUUGGCCAAGUCAAAUGGGUGUGGUUUGUGUGGUGGUGAGUGACUGUUAUUGUUGUUAUAGUCAUAUGGAGAGAAAUGAAAAAUACAAUGCCUGCGAUGAAAAUAUCUAUAUGUUUUUUUUUUCUUAGGAGACCUUAUGUCUCUAUGAUAUGCCAUAUAGAUCGGUAGCUUGAGGGUGGCGGACUCGUUAUUGAUAUCCCCUGGCUGCUAUAGAGACCCUUGAAAGUCCGAUAGUUCUGAUAGUUAGCAGCAAAACGGUUUUCCGUUCGGCGUUUUAGUCAACCAGUUGGUAGCACACCACAAUGGCAGGUGCAUGUGGCAAAAGACUGUUACCAUCACAAGGGUGUAGAUGGAUUUGGUAGGGG